UACGGGGGGGGCAAGCGUUGUUCGGAAUUACUGGGCGUAAAGGGCUCGUAGGUGGCCAACUAAGUCGGACGUGAAAUCCCUCGGCUUAACCGGGGAACUGCGUCUGAUACUGGAUGGCUUGAGUUCGGGAGAGGGAUGCGGAAUUCCAGGUGUAGCGGUGAAAUGCGUAGAUAUCUGGAGGAACACCGGUGGCGAAGGCGGCAUCCUGGACCGACACUGACGCUGAGGAGCGGAAGCCAGGGGAGCAAACGGG
rnacentral:rRNA from 1 species